ACACCAAGAAUAGUAUCAAAUAUUAUUCUGACACUGGAACCUUACAAUUUGCUAAAGUUCAGUGUGCUACAAUUCAUAACAAUAGCACUUUCAUUAAUAGAAGGAGAAGAUACAGAUAAUUUAAAUAAACCAUCACUCAAAAAUUUCUUUCCUACAAUAUUCACUCCCUUUGUUAUAACUACCCUAUUACAUUCAAAAACUAACUUAAAACUAUGUUGAACUAAAAG
rnacentral:lncRNA from 1 species